rnacentral:rRNA from 1 species
UGGGGAAUAUUGGGCAAUGGGGGGAAACCCUGACCCAGCAACGCCGCGUGGAGGAAGAAGGUUUUCGGAUCGUAAACUCCUGUCCUCAGGGAAGAGAAGAAGACGGUACCUGAGGAGGAAGCCCCGGCUAACUACGUGCCAGCAGCCGCGGUAAUACGUAGGGGGCAAGCGUUGUCCGGAAUGAUUGGGCGUAAAGGGCGCGUAGGCGGCUCGGUAAGUCUGGAGUGAAAGUCCUGCCUUCAAGGUGGGAAUUGCUUUGGAUACUGUCGGGCUUGAGUGCAGGAGAGGUAAGUGGAAUUCCCAGUGUAGCGGUGAAAUGCGUAGAGAUUGGGAGGAACACCAGUGGCGAAGGCGACUUACUGGACUGUAACUGACGCUGAGGCGCGAAAGUGUGGGGAGCAAACAGGAUUAGAUACCCUGGUAGU